AAAAAUAUUUGCCAAAAUAAAUUAUUAAAUAUCAUACAGCCAGAAUCAGAAGCCUAACUCAAACCUCCUAAAUUUAAUAUAUUUCUCUACCAGAUCAGACUAACUAUUAUUUUUCCCUUGUUUAACUUUAAGAGAGGCAUAUAUUCAAAUAAUGUUAAUUAAGAUUAAUUGUCACUGUAGCUCACCCACCAUUUGAGCACAGAGCUGAAGUGUCGACACUGCACAAAUUAAAGUCCAUUCAAUUCAAUAGUACUGAGUGUCUAUGAUAUAGGGGCAAUGUACUAAAAACUGAAAAUGUGAAUAUGAGUGAGACAUCUGUGUUCUCAAGAAAAUUGUAAACUAAUAACUGGGAGAGAAUGUAAGUGCAAUUUAAAUGGUUAAGUAAGUACUGUGAUCAAAGUGUGGUAGCUAAAAAGUCAAGUAUGGGCAUCUAUGCUAAAACUGAAAUGAAUAACAGUAGUACAGUAAUCAAGAUGUGCUAGAGUAUGCUGAAAUAACGAAAAGCACAAAAACCUCAGAACGAACUUGAUUUCUUGCUACUGCUACAUGACCAACAUAUGUCAGUUCUAGGUUCUUUACUGGGUUCUAGGUUCUUCCUUGAUUUCGCUUUAGGAUCUAAGCUGAUGGAUCACCCCCAGUUUUGAACAUUAUUGGUUGGCCAGAGGGUAGGGUGGGUAAAGGGGUCUGGAAGGUUUCCCAUUAGCCAUUGAACAUCAUUUCUACUUAUGAAUCAUUCAUCAGAAAUGUCACAUGGACACACCUAAGCAGAAGAGGGCCAGAAAGUACAACCCUGUCAUGUCCAAGGAAGGCAGAGAACUAUUUCACCAACCAUGCUAAUGACUACUACAAAGACUAAAAUAGGAAUCAAUACAUUCUAAGUAGUGUUUAAUGCAGUGAAGCACAUGUUCUAAUCCUGCAUAUGGCUCAAAUAUUUAAAUUAGAGUUACUUCUAAAAUAUGUCUCUUGCCUUAGCCCUUUAAAUUAUACUCUCUCAUUCAUGGUAUAUCGAAAAUAGAAAAAAUUCACAAGCUCUAAAUGCAUAUAGAUGCCUGCAUAUGGGAAUUGAGGAAACUAGGGAUCUCUAAUCAGGCACUUCCCCUGCCAGAACCACUGUGUUUACAGUGCCAGCUUUUCUUAGCUGAAAGUCCUUCUUACCCACUACACUAAAGGACUUCAGUUGGCUUUCUGUUCCAAAGCAGCAAUAAAUAAACAGUAUAGCCCUGUUAUUAUUUAGCGCUUCCAGUUCUCACAGCCGGAAAGUUACAGCCAGUAAGCAGGCGAUCUCCGGGAAAAAAAAGAAAGACAGGACCACCAGACUCUACAGGGAAUCCAAGAGGAAGAAGGGAAGGAUUCCAGAAAUGGAGAGAAGCUGGACUCUAGGGAUGGAUCUGGGGAUGCUCCACAAAGAGCAGCUGUGGAGGAUGCAGAAGAGUUGGCUAGUGGGACAUUCCCACUGAGGAGUGUGGCAGGGGGAAUGUCUAAUAUUCACUAAGAAAAUGCUUGAAAUGUAACGUUUAAAUGAAGCUCCUCAAGUUUCCUCUCUCUCUCUCUCUCUCUCUGUCUCUCUCUCUCUCUCUGUCUUUGGUAUGUUAAAGUAACCAAGGAAAGGGAUUUUGUUUUAUAACUGGGUUACACAGGGGAGAGACCAGAAUAGCUGAAAGCUGUGAGACAUGAAGAAAAUUCAAGAUUUAGGAGACAUGCAGAACAUCAGUGUCUAGGCAAAAUGGCAGACUGACCAACCCCCACACACUGAAUCCCUAGAGAUAUUAGGACAGGGAUAUUGAGAAAAAUAUACCCUUAAAUUGUAAAGGACAAGGCAACUCAGCAUAUUGAAUGCCUUGCUGGCAAACAGGGGCUAAUAUUUGGGAUGCAUAUUGGGCAUAGAUAUACAGAAAAUAAUUUAUCAGUGACAUUAAUAAUAUGACAUCUCUUUGUUGAGAAUGUACUGCUGUCUUAAUAUCACAAUUCUAAGGGGUCAACAUCCAGACUAAAUUUCUUAUCUUACACAUUUAAAAUUAUUUGCUAGGCUACAUUUUUCUUAGAAAAAAUGCAUAUCUGAAAUGGAAUAUUGAUUUUUUUUCCUGGAUCAUACAUAAAGACCAUCAGAAAUUAAUUUUUGAUAAAACACUGCUAUACUCAUUAGAGAUAUAUUUUAAUUAGAUUAAUUUUGCCUUAACAGUCCAUGAGAAGUUACAAGUAACUUGCAAUGAGACAUUAACAUGCAUCAUUCUUGAUAUAAGUAAAAAUUGAAAUGAUUAGAAGUAUACAAAUAUAAAGUAUGUUGCUGGUAUAUGCAAGCUCAAAAAACUUUUACCUGAUAGAAUUAGCAAGAGCAGCUAUGUUGAGCUUCUUUCAGUUAAAAGUCAUUUUUGGCUAUGUCUCUCUAAGGAUAGAAAUAUCACUGCUUUUGAUCUCAUUUAGAAUUCUGCUCACUUUUAGGAAAGUGGGGCUGUUUGGAAAUGGUCAGCCAUAUCCUUACUGAAUUUCCUAGGACUUGACUGCACCCAUUCUAGUUAACAAGUAAGAUAUAAUUAUAUAUUGUAUUAUGACUUCUCAAAGAACUUAUAUUUUAAUUUUCCUUCUUUUAUGUUCAUUAUCUUCAUUUGGACUACUCCACGUGACAAAAGCAAUUAUUUUUCUUCUAUUCCCUAAACUGGACCACACAAAUGCUCUUAGUUCCAAAUCAUAUUCUUUAAGAAACAAGUGUUCACUGAAUGAUUUACUGCUUUAUGUAACAGGUACUGUACAAGAUACAUGAGGCCCCCCACACCCUGAAAACAGAUGUUUCUUCCUGGAGCUUGCACAAUAGGAGAGAAACUUUUAAUUUACCCUUUCUCAGUAAACCAUUAUACAAAACAGAAGCGAAAUUGUGGACCCACUGAACUCAAUCUGGCUGACUUGUGACCCCUACGUGUUCAUAAACCCACUGAAAUAUAUAACUUGCUGUUUAUAUUAAAUAUGCACCCAAGCAUGAUUAGAUAAACAUUGAAAGUAAAUUUUAAUUUUAACCAUCAGUGGAAGUAUAUGGGGUGAUUUAAGUCGUUCAUAUUAGUUUAUUUUUAUCAGGUGUUCCUCCUUGUCCAUAGUGAAAUACAAUACAGAGAUUAUAGCCUAUGGCUUGACAGGACAUCUUAUAGUUGGUAACAGGACUAAAUUAAAAGGAACAAAAGGAAAAAAGCAAUAAAUGAGGAUGUCUAAUUUUAAGAUAAAGAAAAGCAAAUUCACUCACUCUUCCAGGAUAGCAUCAGAGACAACAUUAGAACCAAGAGUCUCAAAACCUUGCCUUGGAUGGUUUGCGUGAUGCUAUGAUUAAAGAAAAGGGGGUGGGGAACUAAGAGAGGAAACCAAAGAGAAAUAAUUCAGUACCUAAUGGCAAUAUUGAGAUAUUUUAUGAAAGAAAAGGAGGUUUUGACCUUGCUGGUGAAUAAAGGUGAUCCGAAACAUUUGCUAGAUACAAUUAAGGCCAUAAGGCAAUAAUUACAAAAGUCAAGGAGCCCUUGCCAUCUCCAAAGCAUCAUGUGCGGAUGCAGUAACCAUUAUUAAGAUCAUGGGUAGUCAAGGAGAAAGCAGAUACAAUAAAGCUGUACCCAGCAAUAUAAAGGGACAUACAAGUGGGUGUUGAACUUAGGGAAAAAGGCUCCCUAUGACCUCAAGAAACGUUUCUUGAUCUGAGAUAUCCAUUAGCACAUUUAGAAGGUACCUAUUUCCAUUAUUGUGAAGGAGUUGUAAAUGAAAUAAACAACUUUAAAUAAUACCUCCCUUGGUCAAACUGGAUCAAGUAUUCCCUGAUGAAAUUCAUUCAUCAUCAUUCAAACAGAAUGGCUUGCAACUCAACCUGCCUAGUGUGGGGUCUGGAAUUCCCACCACAGUCACUGUGCCUUAAGCACUGUUGCAGCAGAAGGACUUGAAGUAACACAUGAGUAUAUAAUGCCAAUUUGCAUGUCAGCAUGGAUUGUUGAAAUUGAAGUUAGUUAAUUGUCACAUUGUAACAGGAAAAGAAUCCAAGUUUUGGAGCUGGGUGGGACUGAGCUUUCAUCUUCUUUCUCUGCUACUUAACUAUGUUAUCCUGAACAAGAUACUCAACCUCCAUGAGACACAGUGACCAUGUAAAAUAUAUAUGUAAAAUGUCUGGCAAGCAUCUGAUUCAUGUAGGUACCCAAAAUUCGAUCACUUUCAUUUUCUUUUGCUUCCUUGGAAGUUUAAAACAAAAUUCUGAGGUAAGUUUCAAUUAAAGUGGGUCAGGCAGACUGAUUCCAGCAAGGUCAAAGCAUCUCCUUUUCUUUAAUAAAAUAUCUGAAUAUCUGAACAAGAAACAACUUCUGUUUUUCAAGGUUGAAAUGAUGAAUUAUUGAACUUUCAUUGCUGUUUGUUUUCUCUCUUGACUCCUAACUACUACAUAUAAAUGAGAUAUCUUGGUUUCCCACUGAUAUCUUAAAUUCAGUGUUUCCCAAAUAAAACAUAAUCUUUUCCAAUAAAAAACUCUUUCUCUUAAGUUCUCCAUGGCUAUUAAUGGACCAACAGUCUUUCAGUUCUCUACCAUAUCCAAACAUAAGUUAAAAUAGAGUCACAGUGAUUGUGUUUGUGAUAGUGGAUGGAGCAAGUUCCAGUAUUCACCAUCCUCUAGGGAAAAAUUGAGAAUGUGUGAGAUUUUUGGAUUAUCACAAUCGCUGGAAGAUGCUAUUCAAAUUUAGUGGAUAUGGACCAGAGAUGCUAACAUACCUGCAUUGCUAAGAACAGUCCUUAACAUUGAAGAAAUGGGAGCCCCAAAUGUCACUGGAAGCCCCACUGGGAAAUGCAAACAGAAUCCACACUCUUCAAAUGCCUAUUCUUAUUUUCUACUUUCAUUACUAUUCCCAUUCUAUCAGUCCAGGCUCUGCAUUACCUUGAAUCAUAGCAUGUUAUUGUUGGAGAGAACUUUAAGGUCAUCCACAUCAUGGAACUGAGGCCAAAAGGUUAGUGAACUGGUCUAAGUUAUGUAACUACUUGGUUACAAAGUUUGACCUCACAUCUGUUACCCUAGUAGACUUGCCUAAGAUUAUAAUAUUAUCGAACCGUGCUCCACGUUCAAAUUCAUCCUCUACAGGACAGAGCUGACCACUAAAUCUUAAAGAACCACUCCCACAGUAUCAUUUUUCUACCCAUAACAGCCCCCCAUGUUUUCCCAUUGCCUAGUAAGUACACAUUCCUCAGCCUGGCAUCCUAGACCACCCAUGAUCUGGGCCAACCAGGCCUUUUACUGGUAUUCCACCCUACUCUCCUUCUGCCUUUUUUGAGUGACAAACUGUCCCCCUGGCUAACUCCCAAGCACAUAUUGGGCAUUUAUAUCUUCCCUCAAGCUGUUCCCUUUGCCUAAAAUAUUCUCCACAUUCUUUCCCUGUCAAAUCUCUACUGACAUUCAAAUGUCUCCUCUCCAUGAAACUUAAAAAAAAAUUUCCUCAACCUGAAAUGUUCUUUUUCUCUUUAUCACCUUUAAUACUUUAAAGUUGUUACUGGAAUUACUAUGGUUUGCUAGGCACUAUAGCUAUUUGAAUAUUUUGUUGUUUUUGAGGACAGAGACCAGCUAAUAUGCAUAACAUUAGUUGUAUGAUACUCUGCACAUAUAAGGUGCACAGUAAAAAGUUUGGAGAUAGACACACAAAAGAUCUAGCAGCAAAUCUGGGAGAAAAAAAAAAUCAGAAGACAAGACAAAGCUUUCUGCUCUUAAUUGUUCACCCAGGGAAAGCUUUAAAGCACUUCUCUUCACACUCUCUUCAAGACUCCUUUUAGCAUUAUAAUGGAAAUUCACUGGAAAUGUGUUUCAAUUUAAACAACAACAACAAAGAAACAGAAGGGAAUGACAUCAUUCUUGUUCUUUCUGUUGCCCUUAAUGAAAGUUUCAUUUAUCUAUGUCAUCAAACCUAUGCUGUCAGCAGUAAGGAUGGAAGCUUCAUUAAUAAAAAUCAGAGUAAGCCUUCUACCUUGUAGAUGAAAAUUCCUAUAUCAAACUGCAACUAACAGCCCGGAGAACUAAUAUGUAAUCUUAAAUGGACACAACCAGUUGAUUUAGAAUUUGGUUUAGAACCGCAAUUGUGGAAGCACAAAUCUUUUUUUAAACAAAAACAGAAGAGGGUCUCACUCUGUCACCCAGGCUGGCAUGUAGUGGCAUGCUUAUAGCCCACUGCGGCCUCUAACUUCUCAAGCAGUCCUCCCACCUCAGCCUCCUGAGUCGGCCAAAUCUUUAUAACAUUUUUCUAACUAUUCACCACUGUACAAUCUGAAGUUCAGCUAAAAAUUACUGAUACCGUAGUGCUGGGGAGCAGAAUCUAGCCUUCCUGACACUGGCCACUCAGUUCCAAGUGAAAUGCUUGGUACACGUAAGUAUAUAAUUAUAAGUACAUAUCAUAUAUCAUAUAUAAUUAAGUAUAUAAAGAGUAUAUAAGUAUGUAACAUUUUUGUCAGUGUGUGUGUUAAGAGGAAUUCUGGACAUGUCUUCUAUAUAGCUAUACAUUUUCUUAAUCACAUGAUUAAUUAGGUCAAGCAUAAAUAAACUUAACUAUAUGGCCAGAAUUUUAGGGUUUAAGAAGAGGAUCAAAUAAACAAAAAUAUGCAAAA